UUUGCUUCAUGCUUCAUAUGUUGCCGCCACUAUAAAAAUACAAUGCAGGCAGAGGAAAGUAACACUACUGCUUAAAGCAGCCAACACAGCAACAUCUACAUUUUCUGCAGAAUAUUGUCAGCAAAGCACAGAGAGCCUCCAGUCCAGCUGAGGAUAUACAGUAUUGAAGAGUGGUAGCUUUGCUUAUGGUUAGCACCAGUCAGUCCAUAUAUCCUGCCAAGCCCAAUGGCACUGCACCUUGGAGAGUCCCCCUGUCUGAAUCAGAGUAAUUCAGUGAAUCAACAUGCUUGCAGGUUACGAAGAGGAGGAUUUCACCCAGACCAUAAAGAAAAGGAGGAUUUCACCCAGACCCACGAGAUAAAACUCCCAUAAUCACUGAUCCUACCCAAUUUGUCCACUAAGUCCAGCCCUGCCCUCUCAUGAAGUCAGAUGAAUUGACACCUCGUGCUUGUUUCCUAUCUUGACUGCCAGGUUUAAUCUGGCUGACUGCUGGCAGGCAUCCUGCUGAAAAGUAUUUAAGAUUUAUGCAGGAGUAAAUUCCUGCAGGACACCAGCAAAAAUCAUAUGCCUGGAUUUUCCUUCCGAUAGUUCUCCCUUCCGUACUUGGAUUUGAAGAAGCAUCAGAGCUCAUGGUCAACAACGUUAAAGCAGCAGAGAACCUACAAGAAUAGGGUUUUCCAUCCUCAAUCAGUUACCAAUUAAGCUUCGAGACACAAAAAAUUUUGCAGAUGCUGUAUGUAUCUGGGGCAAUACAUAUAAAGUGCUGGAGGAACUCAGCAGGUCAGGCAGCAUCCAUGGAGGGAAAUAAACAGUCGA